ACCACAAAUUGGGCCACUAUACUGCGCCACCCGCCGCCUCCUAAAACUCGUUAUGAAUUUGCUUGGUGCACAACAAGCAACAGCACAACAUUGCCUCUAAAAUCGACUUGGGUGUUGACGUUUUCCUCAGUCGACUCUUUGUGGACGCACGCAUCACCGAACACGCUACAUGACUUUGUUGGCUGUUGGGCAACAACAAUAUACUAAAUGUGUAAAUGGCAAUCGUUUCACAGCAGCUAUCGCUCCGGAACGGUAUGGUGGCAACGCGUCACUUGUACUAUUUCCUUGCAGUUGCUCGUAUUAUCGGUGCGAGCGAAUGAACAAGACAGCCAACGAGAGGCAGUUCAGCCGUCGAGCAGGCAAGCAGCGCGAACCAGUCAUUUUUUCGAUGCAAGAGGCAAUGGACGGUCGAAUCGGAUUAGUGAAUCUGUGCGUACGGAUGCGUUCGCUAUAGGAAAAAAGAAAAUUGUGGUGGUGAGAAGAGUAGUGUGUGAAAAACCAUUAACAGAAUUUUCUCUUGUGAAAAAAUGUGAAAAUAUUCUUCUUGCCGUGUUGUAACCAAUCUUACGCAUUCACAAAUCCAUAUGUAUAAGAAAGAGUACCUGUGUUAAAAGCCUUCUUGCACCAGUUGGGGCUUGAAAUUUUAUGACAUGAUAUGUGUUUGCCUUUCUGCUCGAUUUGACUUUUCCUCAUGUGAAUCGUGAUCGUUCGUUCAUUAAUUAUUGAUUUCUUCGGGAGCUCUUGAAAAAAAA